rnacentral:rRNA from 1 species
CCCUUAGAUGUUCUGGGCAGCACGCGCGCUACAAUGGUCUUCGCAAACGGAUGCAUUCUCGAAGGAGCCUGCCAAUCUUGGAAUCUAUGCCUUGGUCGGGACAGUUGCUUGCAAUUUUUCGACUCGAACCAGGAAUUCCUUGUAAUCGUGAUUCAUCACAUCACGAUGAAUACGUCCCUGCCCUUUGUACACACCGCCCGUCGCUCCUACCGAUCGAAGAGUUAGGUGAAUUGUUUUGAUCGAUAAGAUUUGACUAUGGUCAACUCUCGUUGUGAAAUUCUGUGAAUCUGACUGUUUAGAGGAAGGAAAAGUCGUAACA